CACCUGAGCUAACCGUUGAGUCAAUUAAAACAGCGGUCCUGAGGAAAAUUUCUAAUAAUGGAGCGGCAAAAUUAUCCAGACAAUACUUCAAUUCAAGUAAGAGAUCAUUGGUUUUGUACUGAUAACGAAAUUUUUUGAAGAUAGAGUUUGCCGUACCCAGAACACCAUUAACGGAGACGUAAUCGUUAUUGCGGGAGACGGCAUCGAGGCUGGAUAUUAGCUCCGGAAGCAAAGUGGGCCAUGAUUUCGGAAAAUCGUGUUUGCCAAUGAGAGAAAGCGACUCGCUGAGCUGUGACUGAAUGCGAGGAGUCGAGGACAGCAUGAGACUAACAAUUAGGGUUUUGAUCUGAUCCUUCUCCGCAUCAAGGAUGGGAGAGAGGGAAGACUCCGGUGACGGGGCCCAGCGUGUGCGGAGAUGAUUCUUAAAGUUGACGGCAGCAGCGUGGCGGAUCUGCUCGUCGACGGAGGGUUCCGAGACUAAGCGAAGAACGGCGAGUGCAUAAUUUGGGUGGUCGGCAGCUUCCGUGAGUUUGGCUUCGGCGGCACGUCGUGGCUCCGGUGCAGGAGAGAGUGUAUGGAGGAAACAUUGGGAUAGGAACUCUGGAUUCAUCUCCAAAACUGGAAAGAAUGUGCUUGCGUUGUGCGCUAGGGUUUGCGAAUGCGACUUUAGGGUUUGUGAGAAAGAAAUCUAAUAUGAAAAUGAAGUGAUUUUAGAAAAAAUGAAAAAUAAAGGAGAGAGUAAAAUAGCUAAAGAGAGAGC
rnacentral:misc_RNA from 1 species